rnacentral:rRNA from 1 species
UACGAAGGGUGCAAGCGUUAGUCGGAAUUACUGGGCGUAAAGCGUGCGUAGGCGGUUUCUUAAGUCCGUUGUGAAAGCCCUGGGCUCAACCUGGGAACUGCAGUGGAUACUGAGAGGCUAGAGUGUGUCAGAGGAUGGUGGAAUUCCCGGUGUAGCGGUGAAAUGCGUAGAGAUCGGGAGGAACAUCAGUGGCGAAGGCGGCCAUCUGGGACAACACUGACGCUGAGGCGCGAAAGCUAGGGGAGCAAACGGG